rnacentral:rRNA from 1 species
GCGAAUUUCGCCCUUUAGAAGUUUGAUCCUGGCUCAGAAUAAAUGCGUGCGACAGGUCUAAUACAUGCAAGUCGAAUGCGAUUAAAAGAAAUCGCAUGGCGAAAGGGUGCGUAACACGUGAGUACUUACCCAAAUAUAUGGACCAAGCCUUGGAUGGUGAAUGUUCUGAAAAGCAUUACAGCGUAUUUGGAUAGGCUCGCGCAGGAUUAGGUUGUUGGUGAGGUAAAGGCUCACCAAGCCGAUGAUCCUUAGCCGGUCUUCACGGAUGGUCGGCCACACUGGGACUGAGACAAGGCCCAGACUUUUUUUGAAGGCAGCAGUAGAGAAUUUUGUACAAUGCGCGAAAGCGUGAUACAGCUAUGUCGCGUGGAAGGUGUGAGCCAUUUGGUUGUACUCUUCCACUCCUCCCAGAAGACUUAAGACACACUGGGAGAGAGAGCCCCGGCCAAUACUCGUGCCAGCAGCCGCGGUAAGACGAGAGGGGCGAGUCUUAUUCAGUGCGAAUCGGCGUACAGCGCUUGUAGGCGGCUUCAGGUGCUGCGUGUGAAAGUCUGAAGAAAUCCUUCAGAAUGGCGCGCAAGACUCUGUAGCUUGAGUCUCAUAGAUGAAAGUGGAAUUUCUCAGGAAGGAAUGAAAUCUGUUGAACUGAGAAGGAACUCCGAACGCGAAGGCAGCUUUCGAGAUGAGGACUGACGCUGAGAAGCGAAAGCGUGGGGAGCAAACGGGAUUAGAGACCCCAGUAGUCCACGCUGUCAACGAUGAAUGUUCGUUUUGUGCUUCGCACGCACGAAACCUAGCAAACGCGUGAAACAUUCCGCCUGGGAACUACGACCGCAAGGUUAAAACUCAAAGGAUUUGACGGGGGCUCAUACAAGCAGUGGAGCAUGGCGUUUAAUUCGACACUACGCGCAAAACCUUACCAUUCCUUGUAUACAUACAGGUGCUGCAUGGCUGUCGUCAGCUCGUGUCGUGAGAUGUUCGGUUCAGUCCGGAAACGAGCGAAACCCCUGCACGUGUUUCAUAGCCUUAUACGAGGGCGAACACGUGGACUGCACGAGAAACUCGUGAGGAGGGUGGGGAUGACGUCAAGUCCUCAUGGCCCUUAUGGAAUGGGCUACAGCCGUGUUACAACGGCGAUGACAAUUUGAUGCAAGGACGCAAGUCGGAGCAAAACACGAAACAUCGCCACAGUUCGGAUUGAAGUCUGCAACUCGACUUCAUGAAGGUGGAAUUGCCAGUAAUCGUGUAUCAGCAUGGCACGGUGAAUUUGUACCUGAGCCUUGUACACAC